rnacentral:rRNA from 1 species
AUUGAACGCUGGCGGCAUGCCUUGCACAUGCAAGUCGAACGGCAGCACGGGUGCUUGCACCUGGUGGCGAGUGGCGAACGGGUGAGUAAUACAUCGGAACGUACCUUAUCGUGGGGGAUAACGCAGCGAAAGCUGUGCUAAUACCGCAUACGCCCUGCGGGGGAAAGCGGGGGAUCGCAAGACCUCGCGCGAUUAGAGCGGCCGAUGCCUGAUUAGCUAGUUGGUGGGGUAAAAGCCCACCAAGGCGACGAUCAGUAGCUGGUCUGAGAGGACGAUCAGCCACACUGGGACUGAGACACGGCCCAGACUCCUACGGGAGGCAGCAGUGGGGAAUUUUGGACAAUGGGGGCAACCCUGAUCCAGCAAUGCCGCGUGAGUGAAGAAGGCCUUCGGGUUGUAAAGCUCUUUUGUCAGGGAAGAAACACCGGCUCUAACACAGUCCGGGAAUGACGGUACCUGAAGAAUAAGCACCGGCUAACUACGUGCCAGCAGCCGCAGUAA